GCGGGUGCUCUGAGGGAGUUCGCGCCGUUCCCGGCUGCUCCUGAGGGAAAAGCGACCCGGAUCCGCAAGGAUCGGCAGCAAAUCGCAUCGGACCUCGGUGUCCCGCUUCGGAAACCACCCCUGCAGCUGCCUCCGAGCUGUUAGAAUUGUCCUCCAGCUUCUGGGUUUAGGUAAUCUCUAGGUUAUCCAUGUUUCCUGUCCUGCCUCAGAAUCCCUGCAAAGACAGUAUCUUCUGAACAGCAAGAUCUCGCCAUGUCUGAGGAAAACACAAGCGGGAAUAUCCCGCCAAAGUUCAGGAAAUAGAACAGUGCAGCAGAAGCCUUAUCACAACAGAAAUGACCCCUGAAGUGCAGCUACAGAAAACAACCACUUACAGGAGGAAAAUCUGUCACCCAGCAGCACCAGUGACCACGCUGUCAGAACCUGAACUUCCACAUCAGAAGCACAGUCAGUAAAAAGGCAGCUAAAG